GGGUGUGUGGCUCAGUGGAAGAGCUCUGGGCUUGAAACCCAGCACCUCCA
rnacentral:tRNA from 1 species